rnacentral:lncRNA from 1 species
AAUUGCUCUGAAGGGCCAUUACCACAUAAAUAUGCAAGUAUUUCUGACAAGCUGUGUUGUUUAAUGAAGCUACCAAAAAUGAACUAAAUUUAAUAAAGCAGAUAUAACAAGCUACUGAAGAACUGAUGUUGGAGAUACCUCCUUCCUUCUUAGCUAAAAUGAAUAAACAAAUUUGAGAAGAUUUUGAGGAGAAAGAAGGAAAUGCUCUCGGAAGAAGGAGAGAAUAUUCUCCUCCACAGAGGGUAAUCAGCCUAGCAAGGCGAUGGUGAUCGUAUGAGAGGCUGGCAGUGCUGCCUAAUGUUUCUUUCCUGGAGAGAAUGCAACCUAUUUGUCUAGUAAGGAAUUUCUGAAAAAUCUGUAUCUGGAUUUUAUCUGCACUAUAUGAGUGAUACUUUUGACAUGUGGAUGGAUAGAGAUGUGGC